ACUGGUGACAAUGGGCACCAUGGUGUCCGCUGGGCUCAGCGCUGUGUCUGUGCUCUCAGGGCUCCUUUUCCCAGGCUGCAGCAAAAUCACAUUUACCCACUCAAGCCAAUCAUAUGGCCCAAGCCUGUUUUCCAUACGCAUGCAAUUUCUAUAUGCUUCGAAAUAAACAACACACACGGAAGCCAAGCUCUCAUGCCAAGUCCUGUGACGCCCUGUAUGGGACCUGCCCAUUGCAGCCUCUCACGGCACUCCCAGUGACUGCCCAGCAAUUUGGCUGUCAGCUCCCUGGCUAGGUACUGGCACACAUCACCCCCUGACCCCAAGAUGGCAAUCCAGCCCCUUCUCAUCCUCUCAAGAAAUUAUUAUCUUUUCUCCCCCGCCUGACAAGGCUAAACUGUCUACUUACCGAUCCCCACACAGCAGCAGCAGCUGGGAGCAUCUGGCAUGGGACAUAUGGAAUUUAAUUUCCCGAUAUUUACAUAGAUUGAAACAAUUCCGACUCCAGACUUCAGAAGGCCUGUUGCACCAGACCUCAAGGCAAAAGCUUUCAGUUCAUUUAGUUUUUCUCCUCUUCUUUUGGCGAAUGAGCUGGGAAUACCAGUUUAAAGUCUGCGCAGGCUUUAGGAAGUUGAAAGAUACUCAAAUCCUUGAUCUACAAGGCUUACAGGGAGUGCAUCGGGAUGAAGCCAAAACAGGACUUGGAUUGACAGGCAUAAUUUAGAUUCCUACGUUCAAAACAGCAACCUGAAAACUUCUGCCAACCCUAAAGGCACCUCACUUGGUUCCUUUGAACUGCCCAAACUCCUCUGGUUUUGCUUCCUUGCUUGCUCAGCUGUUCCAUGAAGAACCAUUCAACUAGCUUGGAGUUGCAGCAGGAACUCAGGUCUCCCACCACUGGCAAAGUGGUAGAAGGCCUUAGACUUUUUACAAGGCCCCAGAUUUUUUCCUCCUCCUCAUCCAAUGACUCUUACAUUCUUAUUAGGAGACCAGUAAAACUAACUCCAGCACUGGAGUGUCAGUGCUGCAGAGCAGUCAGCUCCCUGGGCAGACAUCCUUCUUGGAAAGAAGGAACUUGGGUCUGCAUCCUUCCAGACAGAAGAGAAAACUGAAUCUGGGUCUCCCGAGGCCCUGGCUAAGCAUGUGGACACAAAACUGUCAUGUAAGAAAGGGUCACUCCAGAGAAUCUGACCUAUCACGAGAAUCAGGUCCUCAGCCUUUAUCAGAAGGUGACCACCUCUUUGAUAGCACUGUUGUUCAGAUAUGGCCACCACUAAAGACAGCCUGCAAUGCACAAGGCAGAUCUCUGCUUGUGCUAAAUGAGAGCAACUGAGACUGGAAAGUUUUAAAUCCCCACUCCUAAUUGCUUAUUUAACUUGCUUGUUAAAUUUGAUUUUAUACUUGUGUGCCAAAGGAUCUCCUUGUUAUGGACUUAAAAAAAAACCUAAUAAUAUAUAGUGUUUUAAUAUUGGGUUCGUUCAACUUUUGUUACUCUAUUUAGAGGACCUUAUUAUACUUUUAUUGCUAUAAAAUAGCUUUAUUCUCCUUAUGAUUAUUUUACAGGGCUCUAGAUAGUUGAUCUGGAUGCUGUCUUAUUAACUGUACCAGGUGGUAGAAAUGCCAAUUAUCCUCUUUAAUAUCCGUAAUUCAGACUACAUUGCAAGGCUGACCUCAGCGUCUCUGAUACCCCAGGAGGAACUAUAUUAUAUCACUGAAUAAGGGGUCAGAGAUGAGAGAGCUUUUGGCAAGGGACUUCCACUGUGUAGAUGAAAGCAUCCAGAUUAAAAAUGGUGCUUCCUGCACAACAUUGCUUCUCUCACACUUUCCAAACUCACAAGAGAUUGCUUUCUAAAGAUGGGCAAAAUGAUCCCUGUAUGGUUUAUGUAAUAUCUGAUGCCUAGUUUUAGGAUUUUUCAGGAUGAAAGAUACUGUAGUAUAGUCAUGCUUCAGGACUGGUUGUUCAGCAUCCAAAAGUAAUUGGUACUAAGAAAGAAUAAAAAGAUAGCCAGAUGCCUCUAGGCUGCUUGAAAUUGGGCUUUAGAAUCUGUAUAUGCGAUUUACAGGCUCUAUCAGCUUCCUUCCCAAACACUUGUUAGUGUUAAUGCAUUUGUCCUCACCAAUCCCCAGGAGGCAGGACUUUGAAAUAGCAAACAAGCAGACCAAGAAGUCAGAGCACACAGGCUGAGAACGAAACCGAGCAACAGCUGUGAGUGCCUCUGCUCUCAUUUGGGAUGUUUCAAAGAACACAGACAGGUCUGAAAAUCAGGUCCCUUCCAAGUAUCUUAUUUGUAGGACUUAAAAGCUGAACCACUUUCUUUUGAGCCCCAAGGAUUCAUUAAAUAGCCCAAGAAACACAGCCAAAGACCCAAAGGCCAUGUGUAUAGAGCGUGAACAAAGCACCAGCAUACCACACUACAGACCCUUACAUUUCCUCUUAUAGCUCCUACAGGACAUCCCAGCAGCCCAGCCACUCGCACCCAAUGGUGUCACAUCACUGCAAACCCCAGGGACAUAAGGCAGAAUCAAUCCCAGAGUGUCCCCAGCCACCGGUUUGUACAAGAAACACAAGGACAGCCUUCUGAAAGCCCUCAGCCCAAGCAUAGACAUGAAAUGUAAACUAUUUUCGCAAGUGUUCAGCAUGCAAUCUAUUUGGCUCUUUUGAAAAUCUGGACCUUAUUUAGGUGAGUAAAUGAAAGCCAAGCUAUUUUCAAAAAAAAAAAAAAAAAAAGAAGAAAAGAAAAAAAGAAAGAGGGUUUAAUAGAAAAGUCUGCUGUCUCCUAUUCUUAGGCCUCUAAGUGGUGUGUGCUGGUGCAUGGCUGGUGACUGGCUUUGUAUUCCCAGGAGAUCCUAUGGCUUGCUUAAACAUCCGUGCAAAGCCAACAGAAAAUGGUGCACAAACAGAGCAGGGAGCAAAAAAAUCAGCUUCACUCUACAGCAAAUGCUCAGGGAAAAGGUUUGCAUAGGUCUGGUGUGAACUGGUUCAAAGUCAAACCGCAUGCUGGUCUUCUGGCAGCGAAAUCCAUAUUACAAAAUCCCACUGCCUCAGUUCACUUCGGAAUUGUCUCAGCUACUCAUUCCUAUAUCAGUGGGAAAUUUGGAAGUGACUUUGGAUUCGCAGUUUCCUUUUGAUAAAUGUAUUAAAAAUACCAAUAUAACAGCUUUUUAUAUCAUAAUAAAAAUACAUGGAGGAUUAAAUCCUGCCUAACUCUUGCUGAGUUGGAAGCAAAUUUGCAUGCUUUCCUCACAUCCAGAUUCGAUUACACUAACUCUUAAUGUACAGCUUUGCCAGAAAUGUUUUUAUUAGACAAAAUUGCACUUGGUCCAGAAUGUGGCAGAAGAAAUGAUCUCUGGCAUGCGUGGUAACAGGCCCUUUUCACCAAUCUGAGAUCUCAGGGUGGGUUUUUAAUUUCAGCUGGAAUUAAGCUUAAAAAUUGGCUUUUGGAUCAGCAAGAGAUUGGACACGAUUAUAGGUAAUGCUGGACUUUGGAAGUCUUGGACAAAAUCUUUUGGCCAAUAGGAUUUUUGCAUUAUGUUCCUCAGCUGGGAAGCUCUGUGCCAGAGUGUACUCACAUUCACUCUUGACUUUCCUCUUCUUGUUACCAGAGUGUAUUUUACUCCUUAAAACAACUUCUUAAAACCCUUUAUUUCCCAAAAUAAUUUAGCUGUGUCUGGAACUGUACUAUCCCAUCCCAAACAGUUAUUAAAAGUAUUGAUAACUUUGAGAAGGACGUUGAAAUAGCAGCUCUGAAAGAAACUGCAUAAAGGAAAAGGGACUGAAUGGUUGACAGUCUUGUUUCUUUUUUACUGGCUCACUUUGUAUUACUACUACUGAUUGAUGACUUAAUCAAUUAGCCUGACAUAUUUCCAAAGUGUCUUUUUUAUGUAAGCACCUUUGGCAUUACUCAUUGCCAACUUAAAGGGAACCAAUAAUGGUUUGAACAGUAAAUGAUCAUUAUUUCUUCCAUCAGAUUUAUACCUUUACAUAAAAAGUACUCAAAUCAUUCCCACUGACUUGCUGGAAAGGACUGCAUCUCCAUGCAUCUGCAUAGUGAUUCCCCUUGUCUUCCUCUGGGCCUGGGGACAGGAGCAUACCACCACUGAAAGGAGAGAGUUGCAAUGAGGGACUGAAAGUAACACAGUUAGGGACCGACAGUCAUCUCAUUUUAGAGGGCUGACUGAGUUCUGCAUCGCUGAGGGCUCCGAGGAGCACAGGCAGCAACAUCUGUAAGCAAAAGCAAGAAUCAGGUUGGGAGUUGAGAUUAAAAUGAAGGACAGACUGAGGUUUCUGAAACCAGCCAAGAAAGCCUAGGUCUCAAUCUUGUGAGAUUCCCAAGGCGGGCAGAAGACACUUUAAUUACAUGAUCAAUACAGUUUCAAAGAAAGCAUAGAAGCCACAAUGACUCUGAGGGCAAAAACAUUAUUUGAAGGGUAAAAUGCAAACCUAUUGAGGAAGAACAUGAGAACUCUGCUCUAGAGAAACCAGUCAGUCUCCUACUAGUAUAGUUUAGGUACAUUUGAAGACGUCUGAAUAGAAGUGUAGACAAAACCAUGCAAGCACUCAGCAGGUUCCCAGAUCCUUCAGCAGCCAUACAGCAGAACUGCAAUCACCUGCAAUGAGUUCAUCCUGCCCAAGCAAAGCAGGUGGCUGAAACGUCAUGUUGUUUACUGCAGAAUCACAGGACUCCCAUCACGCACAACAGCAGUGGCAAAUGUGCCGUGCCCUCCUUCGCUGCUGUUGUUUCCUUGGACAAAUUAAGGAAGAUUUUUUCUUCACUGAGAAAAUUCUGGAGCCAGUAUCCCAUGAGAGACAUCAGAGUGAGAUGUUGCGGCAAAGUGUUUGUUUCCUUCCGAACCCCAACAUGGAUGGAUAUUAGGAAAAAUUUCUCCUCAGAAUGAGUGGCAAUGAGUUGGCUCAGGCUGCCCAGGGAGGUGCUGCAGUCACUGCCCCUGGAGGUGCUCGUGGAAUGUGGAGACGUGGCACUGAGGGACGCGGACACGCAUUGAGAAAGGUCCAACCAGGGCCCAUUAAAGCAUUCUGGAAUGGGGUGCUCAGCCACCACUAUCUCCUGUUGUGACAUGACCAGGCUGGGUGUUCAUGAGAGGACUGAACAACAGCAUACCAUGCAGACAUUGCUGGAAGAAAAUAAAACUUCAGCAACCAGAACAAUGUUGACUUCAGUUUUGCAGCUAUUUCACGUUUCCUUUCAAAAGGGAAAAGUAAUGAGGAGCCUGGGAGGACACAUUACCGCCGGCACCGAUCCUCCAUAUGCAUGUGAACUCAAGUAACCUCUUAUUCAUCCAGGCCCUGAAAUAGGAAGGCACAGUUCUGGACAAGCAUAUUGAUCUGGAUUCCUGUAACUAUCCCUUUGAAACACAAAUAAACUAUUGUUGAAAAAAAAAAGCCAACAGA